rnacentral:rRNA from 1 species
UCAAGCUAAUAAGAGCGCAAGGGGAAUGCCUUGGCAUCAGGAGCCGACGAAGGACGUGACAAGCUGCGAUAAGCUUCGGGGAGGAGCAAAUAUCCUGUGAUCCGGAGAUUUCCGAAUGGGGAAACCCACUGGAGCAAUACUCCAGUAACGUGCAUUGAACAAAAUAGGUGUACGUGGGGAACCGCCUGAACUGAAACAUCUAAGUAGGGCGAGGAAAAGACAUCAACCGAGAUUCCGCAAGUAGUGGCGAGCGAACGCGGAGAAGGCCAAACCAGAGGUCAUUGAUCUCUGGGGUAUGGACUUGCAUCAUGAUCAGAGGUAUCUAGUCGAAUGGCGUGGGAAAGCCAACCACAGAGGGUGAGAGUCCCGUAGACGAAAGAGAAGACUGACAGCGAGUAUCCAGAGUACCGCCGGACACGUGAAACCCGGUGGGAACAUGGGAGGACCACCUUCCAAGCCUAAAUACUACCUGAUGACCGAUAGUGGAGCAGUACCGUGAGGGAAAGGUGAAAAGAACCCCGGGAGGGGAGUGAAAUAGUACCUGAAACCUUGUGCUUACAAGCAGUCAGAGCACGUUAAAGUGUGAUGGCGUACCUUUUGUAGAAUGGUCCGGCGAGUUAUAGUCACUGGCGAGGUUAAGCAAUUCAGUUGUGGAGCCGAAGGGAAACCGAGUCUUAAUAGGGCGUCGAGUCAGUGGCCAUAGACCUGAAACCGGGUGACCUAUCCAUGAGCAGGUUGAAGUUGGUGUAAAAGCCAAUGGAGGACCGAACCCACGUUCGUUGCAAUGACCGGGGAUGACUUGUGGAUAGCGGAGAAAUUCCAAUCGAACUCGGAGAUAGCUGGUUCUCCCCGAAAUAGCUUUAGGGCUAGCCUCAUGUUAGAUAUCCGGAGGUAAAGCACUGAAUGGCCUAGCGUCCGAGAGGAUAGCGAAGCCUAUCAAACUAAGAAUGCCGGAAUAUUGAUGCAUGGGAGUCAGACAGUGUGAGAUAAAUCUCAUUGUCAAAAGGGAAACAGCCCAGAUCUACAGCUAAGGUCCCAAAUUGUAUCUAAGUGGAAAACGAUGUGGAAAUACGCAGACAACCAGGAUGUUGGCUCAGAAGCAGCCACUCAUUUAAAGAGUGCGUAAUAGCUCACUGGUCGAGCGUCUCUGCGCGGAAAAUUUAACGGGGCUAAGAUACAAACCGAAGCUUAGGCUGCACGUAAGUGCGGGGUAGGGGAGCGUUGUGUAAGCGGAGAAACAGUAGCGUAAGCGGCUGUGGAGUUUACAGAAGUGAGAAUGCCGGAAUGAGUAGCGCGAAUGUGGUGAGAAUCCACAUGGCCGGAAACCUCAGGUUUUUGGAGGAAGGUUCGUCCGCUCCAAGUUAGGCGGGAGCUAAGGUGAGGCCGAAAGGCGUAGCCGAUGCACAGACGGUAGAGAUUCCGUCCCCACCGAAAGAUUUAAGCGCAGGGACACUUUUAGAAGGUCGGAGCCAGGUGUUGGUUCUGGUAGAGAUCGAGGGAAAUUUAGUACCGAAGUCUGGCUGGAUAAGAGGCGAGAAAAGCUGCGUGUAUAUCUAAGGUGCCCGUACCGCAAACCGACACAGGUAGGUAGGAAGAAGAUUCUAAGGCCAACGGGAGAAGGGUUGUUAAGGAACUCGGCAAAUUGACCCCGUAACUUCGGGAGAAGGGGUGCUCCAGAGAUGGAGCCGCAGAGAAUCGGCCCAAGCAACUGUUUACCAAAAACACAGGUUUGUGCUAAAUCGAAAGAUGACGUAUACGAGCUGACGCCUGCCCGGUGCUGGAAGGUUAAGAGGAGAUGUGCAAGCAUUGAAUCGAAGCCCCAGUGAACGGCGGCCGUAACUAUAACGGUCCUAAGGUAGCGAAAUUCCUUGUCAGGUAAG